rnacentral:rRNA from 1 species
UACGUAGGGCGCAAGCGUUGUCCGGAAUUAUUGGGCGUAAAGAGCUCGUAGGCGGCCUGUUGCGUCCGCUGUGAAAUCCCGGGGCUCAACCCCGGGCCUGCAGUGGAUACGGGCUGGCUAGAGGCAGGCAGGGGAGAACGGAAUUCCUGGUGUAGCGGUGAAAUGCGCAGAUAUCAGGAGGAACACCGGUGGCGAAGGCGGGUCUCUGGGCCAAUACUGACGCUGAGGAGCGAAAGCGUGGGGAGCGAACAGG